AGGCAUGACUGCAGCCACCGCGAAGAUGUUAGCAUUGCCUGCUACCCUGGCGGCGAGGGACACAGGCUCUCUCUGGGUUUUCCUGUCAGACUGAUGGAUGGAGAAAAUAAGAAAGAAGGACGAGUGGAGGUUUUUAUCAAUGGCCAGUGGGGAACAAUCUGUGAUGAUGGAUGGACUGAUAAGGAUGCAGCUGUGAUCUGUCGUCAGCUUGGCUAUAACAUUAUUUGCAAUAGCCAAGAUAUGGAAACAGCCUAAAUGAAUGGAUGAAGAAAAUGUGAGGCUUUCAAACUUUGGAGGAAUGCACUGUGGUAGGAUUUGGAAUGAGUGCAAGAUAUGCUUUUUGUGAAGUGAGAGAAGAGAAGUUUUGAAAGAGAAGUUUGAUCUUGAUAGCAGCAAGAUUAUUUUUAAGAAAUAAUAUAUGUGAAAUUUGAGGAUAUAAAAAUUAGAUUCACUUAGAGCCUGUGUAUCCCUUGGAAAGUUAUUAUCUACCAGGAGCACUUGACAUCCAGUUUAAAGACUAAUUAUUAGAAACUGUUGUGUCAUUGAAAUUUUCAGCUGUGAAUUACUAGAUUCAGUAAACCAGUGAGAAACCUUUCCCUUUUUUCUGUGGAUGGCAGAGUCCUUAAUUGUUUAAAGAAAGAGUAGUCAAAAGAAAAUGUAUUAGAUUUCACUAUAUCAAUGAGAAUUUAUUUAAUCAUGUGCUGUUAUUGGCUAAAAUGUUCUCUAAUUUCUACUUAUCGAUAUAUCUAAAAUGGUGCUUUUUUUUUAGUUUGUGCAAGUUGAUCAGUUCCUAAGAAAUGUUCCUUUUGGUUUAUUUAAAUGAGUUAAAUUUUAUUUUCUGUAUGUCUACUUCUACCUGCCGUCUAGUUUUAUGUUAUUUAUCAU
rnacentral:sRNA from 1 species